UACGGAGGAUGCAAGCGUUGUCCGGAAUUACUGGGCGUAAAGAGCUCGUAGGUGGUUUGUCGCGUUGUCCGUGAAAACUCACAGCUCAACUGUGGGCGUGCGGGCGAUACGGGCAGACUGGAGUACUGCAGGGGAGACUGGAAUUCCUGGUGUAGCGGUGGAAUGCGCAGAUAUCAGGAGGAACACCGGUGGCGAAGGCGGGUCUCUGGGCAGUAACUGACGCUGAGGAGCGAAAGCGUGGGGAGCAAACAGG
rnacentral:rRNA from 1 species